rnacentral:rRNA from 1 species
UUGACCUCGGAUCAGGUAGGAAUACCCGCUGAACUUAAGCAUAUCAAUAAGCGGAGGAAGGGUUUUACACUGUUUC